UACGUAGGGGGCCAGCGUUGUCCGGAAUCAUUGGGCGUAAAGCGCACGUAGGCGGCUUUCUAAGUCGGGGGUGAAAUCCUGGAGCUCAACUCCAGAACUGCCUUCGAUACUGGAGAGCUCGAGUCCGGGAGAGGUGAGUGGAACUGCGAGUGUAGAGGUGAAAUUCGUAGAUAUUCGCAAGAACACCAGUGGCGAAGGCGGCUCACUGGCCCGGUACUGACGCUGAGGUGCGAAAGCGUGGGGAGCAAACAGG
rnacentral:rRNA from 1 species